UACAGGAUGCUGCCAAGGAGUGGGAGAAAGCUGGAGAGUUCUGGGAGGCUGCAGUUCCCAGCACUCCCCGAAGGAAGCAGGAGGCAUGCAGUGGGAAAAUAUCCACGAGAACUGACUGAGAAUGCCAAACUCCUCUGAUGUGUUGUAACAUGUUACCACUUUCUGGCUGAAGAUCUUUUUCGUUGGUGGCGUCAGAGAAGGAUCCAUUCAAGGCAGAAAAUAAGCUGGCAGAAGGGUGGCUGGGGAUCUUUUGUGUGCUAGCUCCUACAGAAGAUGAUCCAGGGGCUGGAGGAGGAUGGAAGGAUGAUUAGGCAUGUUUAGGGAAUCUGUUUCCUUCUCAUAGAAACAGCACAAAGGAAAGGACACGUUCCGCACACCAGGGAACCGGAAAGAAAGGUAGCACAUCUGAAGUGAACUUAAAAAGCUCUGUUUUGACUCAGUGACAUCAUUUCCCACCUUCUUUCUGCCCACUACCAGCACAAAGGAGAGCCUCCCCCUUCCAGCAGAAAGCAGAGCAAGGUCUUCACUCUGCCACGAUGAACCUGCUAUAGUAGGGUACUAACACCACAUCAAGUAGGCUGAUAAUUGCAUUUCCGUUACCCAACUAUGAACAGACAAAGGUUUGCAUCAUUAAAAGAAUAAUCUUUUCCAUUUGAGGAAGAGACUCACCAGUUUUGCCCUUUCCCAGAACAGCACAAUAUUCGGGGUGAUGAGCACACUGGCCAUAUUUUGACAUCAAAGGAUUCCCAGAGGAGCUAAUUGAGACAGUACCUGUCAUUAAAUAGUCCUAAAGCACCUAAGCUAAUUGUCUAUUUUUGUGUUCUCACCAGUAAUCUCCAGAGACACAGACACA